GCUGCUGCUGCUGCUGCUGAGCAUUUUCUACACCGUGCCUUAACCCAAGUGUAAGUGAAACGGCUCCUAGGCCUCCAAUGUCAAUUCCAGCUCUCUGGUAUGGCAGAAAAUUCAUCACUGAUCCAUCCAUGCUAGUUGGAACAUGAACCUCCAUUCUUGUUCGUUUCUCCUGACUCCACUGCCCUUCAUCCAGUUUUUCUCCGCUGCCCGCCGAGGAGCCUGUACCCUCCAAUUGCUUAUUAAGUAUGGAGCUUGGACCUGUAUUAUUUGGGGGUUGCUCGUGACUUGGCUGGCUAGUACCCUCAGGACAUUUUCCUUCAAGGUUAUUCACACAAGUUCGAUUUUCUGCCCAACCUUUGGUUUCAAGCAUGUGCAUAUCUUCAACCAUAGGUUUCCAAACCCGUACCCGGGCAUUUAUAAACCAGUUUGAGACCUACAUUAAUCAUUUAUUUUAUUAAAACCACAAAAAAAUUGAUAAAUUAUCAUCUAGGGUGUUCUAUUUCCCUAGCAUUUCCAUGUCACUGCCAAAUUAACAGCAUGCACUAGCAUCUACGUACACUACUUGACGAGAAGCUAUACCGUGUACAUCACAUCAAAUUCAAGCUCUUAAAAAGCAAGAAAUUUUAAACAUCUAUGAAUAAAGAAAACUCAUGCUAGGGAAGAGAAAAGUAGUAAGUUUGGCCCACCCGCAGGGCUCAAAGCAAAUCAGUGUGAGAAUGACCAUUCUAAUAGCUUAGUUCAAUCAUUUAAAUCACCGCAGGGUACAUAAUGAUGAAAGAAAUAUAAAAGUAGCUGACUAGCCUGGUUUCGAGAUAGCCCAGUUUGAGUGGCCAACAUGUGCUUAUCCGUGUCCGUGGGGUACCUAAAGGAGGAAAUGUUGAGAAAUUGAAUUAUACACAGAACAGGAGGGAGAGGCGAGGGAAUUGAAGGAAGGUGGGACUCACGGAUGAAGAAAAUGCUCAAACAGCCAAGCUCUAAGAAUCGCCACUGAACGUUCUGGUAGACCCCUUUGGGGCCUCCAGACGUGUUGUUGGGGUUCAAAUAAGCCCACAUUAGCCCCACCAGAUUUGUUCCUCUGAAAGCCUUGAUCCAUGAAUCUCAGCCUUGAUGUACUCAUAUCACCUUUGCUACUGCUAGCACCUGUAUUUGGGGACAACAAAUCUUCCCCUAGGGACUUUGUUACAUGCUUGAGCUGAUCUGAUAUAGCAUGUUUUAGGGACCUAAAAUUCCUUGAUAUUGUCUUGAGAGCCAAAGAAAGGUAAGGGGUAGCAGCACUGAGGCCUGCAACUGAUUCAAAGGAUGAAGCCACCAUCUGCAUCUGCUGGUGGUAUUGCUUAUACCUUCUGCACACCUCCUCCUGCAAAUAUAGGAGCUUUGCCUUCUUUUGCUGGUACUCCGGCCUGUAGGAUUCGCAAGAACUUCUUGCACCUGCAACAUCACCACUUGCUUCAUUGGAUCCAUAGAAUGUUGUUGAUGAGACACUGGAACUAUUGUUAUUGCCUUUAGCCCCAGCCUCUGCAUCAGCUUCAGAUAUCCUCCGACCCUCCUCACCAGCUUUUGUAAGUUUUGAACCUGAUGCACUACAGAACUCAUUUAACAGCAGUUGCGCUGGCUUUAAGAAUUUAGAACUCGUUAGAAUUGUUGCAUAUCCAGUAAAAGGCCCAAGAGGACCAGUAUUUCGAAGAACAUUAUAAUUAGACGCACCCACUGAAUCAUUAAGCGAUUUUCCACUACCUCUACUGAUAAUUGCUGCCGGCUUUGGCAUUGGACACAAAUAAUUUGACUUGAAAAAUUUUGAAUCUUGAUGAGGUUCUUUGAGAACAUUAGACUUUGAUUGCAAAUUUUCAGAUUCAUAUCCAUCUCCAAACUGAGUUACAUAACCUCUAGAUGGCGGAUUUGAUGAAAGAGACAGAGAUAGAACCUGAGUAUUGGGAUCACUUGCAAGAGUCCUCAACUCUUGGUCAUUCUUCCUUGCAAUAAGACCACCCAGUUCACUACUCCAUAGAUGGCAAUUGUCAACAGGCCUAUUCAUCCAACUAUUGGCAUUAUCAAAAUAUAAAGCAGUGGAUUGAUUGCCAUAUUCUGGAAGGAAAAUCCUUUCAUUCCCUCCAAUGGAAGCAGAUGGAGUAACAACAUCAACCAGUGUAUUCCGGUAGAGUGGAUGCACAUUGGAAGACAAUUGCAUCUCCCUAUUGAGCUUUUGGUUAUCAUGAGCAGGAAUAUCACUGGAGGGGUUGGCUAAGGAAGAUUGAACAGUUUGAUAUCCAUUAUAGUUAGGCUUCAAAGACCGUGUAGGUGUUGAAAUAUUGGUUACCCUUGCAUUAUUUGACAAGACAUCCCCAACAAAAAUAGGUUUAUGAUUGUUUUCCCUACCUACUGAUCCACUUGCAUAAUUCACCAUCCAGUCAUAACUCUGUUGUGAAUCAUUGCUUCUCCAGUUGCUAUACUCUUGUGGGUCACUGGCACUGGUUUGAGGUGAAGUAUUAAAGUUGGAAGAAAUUGGAUGAGACGUAUCGGCUAAUGGGGAAAUCCCCGGGAUAGGCCUACGCGUUUGUACUGCGACUAGUUCUUGAUCAAUCAUUGCAUCCCUUUGAGCUGGUAAAAUACUAUUAGAACUAGAUGCAAAAUUGAGCAUUUCAGAGGAAAACAUAGAAGUAGCAGUAGUAGUAGGGUCAUAAAGCACAUUGGCUUUCCUAACAUUUCGAACCUGAACAAGCUCUGGGUUUAGCCCAGAAUGGACCGACAACUGUUCCAAAUUGUUAGGGAAGUCAUCUAAAUGCGGAACUGAAGUUGAACUCGCUUGAACUCUCAGCUUAUCUCUCCUGCUUUGUUGUGCCACAUGUGAUUCACCCGGCCUGAAACUGCUAAUGUCCAUCUAACACAAGGCACCACCACCUGUUAAGCUAUACUCUUGGAAUUCAACUAUUAUCCUGACUGGAAUCUCCCAAAUAAUCUCAUCAGACAACUCAAGCCCUUUCGGAGGUUUAACUCGCUAGAAGUUCAAGAAAUUGAGAGAGAGAAUCCAAGCUGGUCCUGACAUUUCAUUAGCUUCCUUGUCUGAGAUAUACUAAAAAAAUUGUUGGCUUUUGUCGAUUAAACUCUCUGGCGGCUUCACCCACCAAAGCAAAAGAGCGUGCAAAAAUCUUCCACUGCUUGGUACAGAUGUAUAUGAACCAAGUCAAGCAUUCGCCAAACAAAAAGAAAGGUUAAAAACAUAGCACUGUCACCAUAACCGAUAACUCUUUUCCUGCAUAUAUAUAAUAUAACACCUGUACUGCAAUUAUACUUCACGUACUGUUAACCCUAGCUCGUAAGAAUCCACCAUGAAACCUCCUUUAAAGAAAUCUAUUGUUAGUUGGACCCAAAUCUUGAAAUCGACCCAAUAGACCCGAGACGGGUAAAAUUCGCCGGGAGGUUCCGGUGAAGUUUCGGUGAAAGCUCUUUUUUUUUCAACUU
rnacentral:misc_RNA from 1 species